AUUGAACGCUGGCGGCAUGCCUUACACAUGCAAGUCGAACGGCAGCAUGGAAGAACUUGCUCUUCUGAUGGCGAGUGGCGAACGGGUGAGUAAAGCAUCGGAACGUACCGUGUAGUGGGGGAUAACGUAGCGAAAGUUACGCUAAUACCGAAUACGCACUGAGGUGGAAAGCAGGGGAUAGCAAGACCUUGCGCUAUACGAGCGGCCGAUGUCAGAUUAGCUAGUUGGUAGGGUAAAGGACUACCAAGGCGACGAUCGUGAGCGGGUCUGAGGGGAUGAUCCGCCACAAUUGGACUGAGACACGGCCCAGACUCCUACGGGAGGAAGCCGUGGGGAAUUUUGGACAAUGUGCGAAAGCCUGAUCCAGCCAUGCCGCGUGAGUGAAGAAGGCCUUCGGGUUGUAAAGCUCUUUCGGCUCGGAAGAAAUCGCACAGGCUAAUACUCUGUGUGGAUGACGGUACCAGCACAAGAAGCACCGGCUAACUACGUGCCAGCCGCCGCAGUAA
rnacentral:rRNA from 1 species